rnacentral:rRNA from 1 species
UCUGANUUGAGUGCAGAAGGGGAGAGUGGAAUUCCAUGUGUAGCGGUGAAAUGCGUAGAUAUAUGGAGGAACACCAGUGGCGAAAGCGGCUCUCUGGUCUGUCACUGACGCUGAGGCUCGAAAGCGUGGGUAGCGAACAGGAUUAGAUACCCUGGUAGUNCACGCCGUAAACGAUGAGUGCUAGGUGUUAGGCCCUUUCCGGGGCUUAGUGCCGGAGCUAACGCAAUAAGCACUCCGCCUGGGGAGUACGACCGCAAGGUUGAAACUCAAAGGAAUUGACGGGGGCCCGCACAAGCGGUGGAGCAUGUGGUUUAAUUCGAAGCAACGCGAAGAACCUUACCAGGUCUUGACAUCCCGAUGCUAUUCUUAGAGAUAGGAAGUUACUUCGGUACAUCGGAGACAGGUGGUGCAUGGUUGUCGUCAGCUCGUGUCGUGAGAUGUUGGGUUAAGUCCCGCAACGAGCGCAACCCUUAUUGUUAGUUGCCAUCAUUAAGUUGGGCACUCUAGCGAGACUGCCGGUAAUAAACCGGAGGAAGGUGGGGAUGACGUCAAAUCAUCAUGCCCCUUAUGACCUGGGCUACACACGUGCUACAAUGGUCGGUACAACGAGUUGCGAGCCGGUGGCGGCAAGCUAAUCUCUGAAAGCCGAACUCAGUUCGGAUUGGAGGCUGCAACUCGCCUCCAUGAGGUCGGAAUCGCUAGUAAUCGCGGAUCAGCACGCCGCGGUGAAUACGUUCCCGGGCCUUGUACACA